AUUGAACGCCGGCGGAAUGCUUUACACAUGCAAGUCGAACGGCAGCACGGGGGCAACCCUGGUGGCGAGUGGCGAACGGGUGAGUAAUAUAUCGGAACGUGCCCAGUCGUGGGGGAUAACGUAGCGAAAGUUACGCUAAUACCGCAUACGAUCUACGGAUGAAAGCGGCGGAUCGCAAGACCUCGCGCGAUUGGAGCGGCCGAUAUCAGAUUAGGUAGUUGGUGAGGUAAAGGCUCACCAAGCCAACGAUCCUUAGCUGGUCGGAGAGGACGGCCAGCCACACUGCGACUGCGACACGGCCCAGACUCCUCCGGGAGGCAGCAGUGGGGAAUUUUGUACAAUGGGCGCAAGCCUGAUCCAGCCAUUCCGCGUGCAGAACGACGGCCUUCGGGUUGUAAUCUGCUUUUGUACGGAACGAAAAAGCCUUGGCUAAUACCCAGGGUCCAUGACGUUACCGUAAGAAUAAGCACCGGCUAACUACGUGCCAGAAGCCGCCGUAA
rnacentral:rRNA from 1 species